rnacentral:rRNA from 1 species
CGGAGGAAAAGAAACUAACAAGGAUUCCCCUAGUAGCGGCGAGCGAAGCGGGAAGAGCUCAAAUUUAUAAUCUGGCACCUUCGGUGUCCGAGUUGUAAUCUCUAGAAAUGUUUUCCGCGUUGGACCGCACACAAGUCUGUUGGAAUACAGCGGCAUAGUGGUGAGACCCCCGUAUAUGGUGCGGACGCCCAGCGCUUUGUGAUACAUUUUCGAAGAGUCGAGUUGUUUGGGAAUGCAGCUCAAAUUGGGUGGUAAAUUCCAUCUAAAGCUAAAUAUUGGCGAGAGACCGAUAGCGAACAAGUACCGUGAGGGAAAGAUGAAAAGCACUUUGGAAAGAGAGUUAACAGUACGUGAAAUUGUUGGAAGGGAAACGCUUGAAGUCAGACUUGCUUGCUGAGCAAUCGGUUUGCAGGCCAGCAUCAGUUUUCCGGGAUGGAUAAUGGUAGAGAGAAGGUAGCAGUUUCGGCUGUGUUAUAGCUCUCUGCUGGAUACAUCUUGGGGGACUGAGGAACGCAGUGUGCCUUUGGCGGGGGUUUCGACCUCUUCACACUUAGGAUGCUGGUGGAAUGGCUUUAAACGACCCGUC